rnacentral:rRNA from 1 species
GACGAGCGCUGGCGGCGUGCUUUACACAUGCAAGUCGAACGGCAAGGCCCUGCUUUUGUGGGGGUCUCGAGUGGCGAACGGGUGAGUAACACGUGAGUACACUGCCCUUGGCUUUGGGAUAACUUCCGGAAACUGGGGCUAAUACCGGAUAGGAGCUCCUGCUGCAUGGUGGGGGUUGGAAAGUUUCGGCGGUUGGAGAUGGACUCGCGGGUUAUCAGCUUGUUGGUGGGGUAGUGGCAUACCAAGGCUUUGACGGGUAGCCGGCCUGAGAGGGUGAACGGCGACAAGGCGACUGAGAGACGGCGCAGAGUCCUACUGUGGGCAGCAGGGGGAAAUAUGGCACAAUGAUGCCACGCCUGAGACAGAAACGUCGCGGGCGUGAUGACGGCCUGCGGGUUGUAAACCGCUUUCGCCUGUGACGAACCGUGAGUGACGGUAACGGGUAAAGAAGCACCGGCUAACUACGUG